ACUCCUACGGGAGGCAGCAGUAGGGAAGUCUUCCACAAUGGGCGCAAGCCUGAUGGAGCAACACCGCGUGAGUGAAGAAGGGUUUCGGUCUCGUAAAGCUCUGUUGUUAAAGAAGAACACGUAUGAGAGUAACUGUUUAUACGUUGACGGUAUUUAACCAGAAAGUCACGGCUAACUACGUGCCAGCAGCCGCGGUAAUACGUAGGUGGCAAGCGUUAUCCGGAUUUAUUGGGCGUAAAGAGAGUGCAGGCGGUUUUCUAAGUCUGAUGUGAAAGCCUUCGGCUUAACCGGAGAAGUGCAUCGGAAACUGGAUAACUUGAGUGCAGAAGAGGGUAGUGGAACUCCAUGUGUAGCGGUGGGAUGCGUAGAUAUAUGGAAGACACCAGUGGCGAAGGCGGCUACCUGGUCUGCAACUGACGCUGAGACUCGAAAGCAUGGGUAGC
rnacentral:rRNA from 1 species